rnacentral:tRNA from 1 species
GCUCCAGUGGCGCAAUUGGUUAGCGCGCGGUACUUAUAAUGCCGAGGUUGUGAGUUCGAUCCUCACCUGGAGCA